GGAGAAAAAGGAAGAAGGAUCCAUGGAGAAAGUUAAUUGGUCGGAGCACAGUAGUGUCAUUAGUUUGUGUUUGGCUUUCUCACUUUGCAAUCUACCUUCUUUGUUCCUUCUUCCCAUUCUCCAACGUCAUCAUACUCCUUAUCCUAUCAGUGAUGGUAUUGGUGGGGAUGGCGGUAAUAGGAAGAAGAUGCAAGAGGUUGUUUGGACUACGUGGCUCUGUUCCCGCUUUCGUCUUUUCGAAUUUAUUCUUCAUGUGGUGUAUAUAUACUUGUUAUUCAAAAAGGUAUAAAGUGACUAUGCCGUCUUCCACGGAUUUUUGGUCCCAAUACUGUCUACAACGAUGCAUGGGGAGGUCGAUAUGUAGACAACCUUACCCUAUCAAAGGUCAAAAGGCUGCUGCCAGGUUCUAACAAAGGUAGAAAAGGAUCUCCAGCCUUGCUGGGCAUUAGGAUCGAACCCAUGAUCUCUCCAGAGGUAAGGGCUCCAACCACUAAUCCAACCCAAUUGGUUUGUUAUUUAACAAGCUGUCUCAUUGCUAUUGGACAUCAUCUUCCAUGUAGAGCUUAUUAUGCUGCAAAUUGGCCUAUAUAGGAUCCUAUCAGGUGAUCCCGGUUUUGUUUAUUAUGGACCUCCCUCCAACGUUGAAACUUCUCUAGAGGCAAUCACUACUCAUAAAAUUUCUUUCCGGGCUGCCCAUCUGAAGAGAGUUCCUUUUUUACCACAAAGAGUAUGAUAUUGUAAGCACUGUGAUGCGUAUUGACCACCACUGUCCUGCCUUUGAGAAUUGCAUUGAUACACUGGAAGAAAUAUCCAGAGUUCCAGCAUUUCAUAAAUCUGCAACCACGUAAUUGGGAGACAGUAACAACAAGAAGAUUAAAAAAUCACUAUGACAAGGGAGUCUGGCAGAAUUUGAAGGAGUUCAACACUAUAAAAGAAUAACUUAAAAGUCGUUACUCAAGGUUAUUGUUGUAUAUAAAAUGUCACCAGGUGGUGAGAUCUUCUAGCUAGCUCCGUUAGUUCUGUAAAAGAUAGAACUUUCACCUUAAAAUCAUUUCAGUGAUCACUUCACAUUGUUGUA